UACAGAGGUCCCAAGCGUUGUUCGGAUUCACUGGGCGUAAAGGGUGCGUAGGCGGUCGGGCAAGUCUGAUGUGAAAUCUCACAGCUUAACUGUGAAACUGCAUUGGAUACUAUCCGGCUAGAGGAAUGGAGGGGAGACUGGAAUACUUGGUGUAGCAGUGAAAUGCGUAGAUAUCAAGUGGAACACCAGUGGCGAAGGCGAGUCUCUGGACAUUUCCUGACGCUGAGGCACGAAAGCGUGGGGAGCAAACAGG
rnacentral:rRNA from 1 species